AGGGGAGUCGCCAAGUUGGUAAAGGCACUGGAUUUUGAUUCCAGCAUGCGAGGGUUCGCGUCCUUCCUCCCCUGCCA
rnacentral:tRNA from 1 species